AUACAUUGAUCUAUAUUUUAAAAGUUUUCAUUAGCUAACUUUUACUAUACAUUUACAUGUUGCGCUUUCUGAUCUCUGUGAACUACACUUUCAGAUGUCAAGAUAUACUAACUGUUCAAAUGAGAGGCAACACUAGUCCAUUUAAUGGAUUAAAUACAGUUAUUUCCUCUGGGACUUAAUAAAUGUUUUCAUAUGGUUACUAGGAAGAAUUUAAAAAUGAGAAUACAGGUCUGCUGUGCCAAUGCUUGUAGGAAGUCAUAGUAUUACUUAAGCCUGUUGUGUUGUCAUAGUGUAAAACGCAAUUUGUAAGUCAAAAUCUAACGUUAGACAAUGUACCUCCUUGUUUCCCAGCAGCAGUAAGUGUAAAAACAGUUGUAAACACACCAAAGAGUAAAAAAGACACAACCAAGCUAGAUUUGCCCAAUCAUAGACAGCCAAUAAAAUACAAAGAAAUAGAAAAAUUGAUGACAAUGGUUUAAGUACAGUAAGGCUUCAAAAUGUUAUGAGAACUAGAGCAAAGGAAUCUGAGUAAAUUAAAAUGCAUGUAGGUAGAAUGUUUCUUUAACACUAUACAGUAAAUUAAAAAUGAGGACACAAUAUCUCAUCGGAGAAAUCUGGGGGUUUGUUUUUGCACAUGAAUAAGAACUUAAGAUCAUGAAACAGUGUUCACGGAGGGAGCCAAAAGCAUACAGAUAAAGUAACUGUCAAGCCUGGUGAAUCUUUGGGAGUUUCACUAUGAAUAAUAAAAUGGAACUUCAAGAAAAUCACAGUUGUUCUCCAUUGUUACCGUAAACUUAAACAAUGUAGGUGGCAAUUAUGUUUCUAAAGCAUUCCUUUAAUCUUAUACAAUCAGUCCCCAAAAGCCCCAGGCUGCUAGAAAUCCCCUCCCCCUUCUAUUGGCAGACUGCUCAUCUUACUGUAUGCCUACUUCAUGUUGCCAUAUGAAGUUUUUUAAUGCAUUUUUCCUUCACAUUUCUAUUAUCAGAUUUCCUGCUUGCCCCCAGUUGCAAUUAUCUCUGCCAUCCUUGAUCCUUCUGUAGUGGUGACUAAUGCAGAAAGUAAAAGUGUCUCUUUAGACUUCUUUCACUGGAUGCCCUCCAAGUGUUUAUGCCUUUAACUCAUAUCAGCCAUAGCAAACAUAGUUAAUGGUCAGAAAAGGUGUGAAUUGUAACCCAAAACUUCUGGGAGGCACCAAGCUGGUGAAGGCUGUUGUACUACCUAAACAUCCUCCAACCUGUUGACUUAUUUGGGACUUUGACAAACUGCUGUGGGCACCACUACAAAAUGGUUCCCAAGGUAUAUGUGUCUAGUCAAAAGAGGUGUGGAGAGGAUGAAAUAGUGAGACUAGAGGCUGGGAAGAUGGAAGAAAUAGCAAAGCAGAGGGGUGAUACAGGAUGGGCUGGAGUGAACCUGGAAACGGGGGCAAGAUAGUAUGGUAAAUAGUAUGGUUUAACUCCUAUGGACAGGAAUCAAGAAAAGCAAAACAAUAAAGGGAUCAAUAGAAAGAGCAAGACUAGGGGAGAGGGAGGAUGUGGUCAUGUGCUGAGGUACUGAGGCUGCUCCCUAAGAAGUCCUCCCUGGAUGCAGAACAUCCUAACUUCAGGCUGAUGGCAAAUGUUCCCUUCUUGGGUAAGGUUAUUGAGCCAGUAGUGACCAAGCAGCUCCAGGCUGAUUGAAAUGAAUCCAGAUAAUCAGUCUUAUCCAAUCAGGGUUCAGGCCUGGUUUUGGCACAGAAACAGCUUUGGUUGUUUUUUUGUGUUUACCUGUGUCAUGAGAAAGUCAAAGGGAGUGAGCCCAUUGAUACUCCUGGACUCUCAACAGCUUUUGAUACCAUUCACCAUGGUAUCCUUCUGGAGCAAUUGUCUUGGUUGAGAAUGGGAGGUACUGCACUGCCCUGGUUCUGCUCCUAUUUCGAUGGCUGGCUGCAGAGGGUGGUACUUGGGGAAUAUUGCUUGGCCCCAUGGAUACUUCACUCUGAGGCUCCUCAGGGGUUGGUCUCUAUGCUAUUUAACAUCUACAGGGAAUCACUGGGUGGAUUUAUCUGGAGUUUAAGUUAUGCAGCUUUCUCGUUCUCCUUUACAUCCUCAUCAGGUGAAGCUGUGGAUGUGCUAAACAGUUUCUUGCUGCAAUAGUAGACUGGAUGAGGGCUAAUAACAUGAAGCUCAAUCUCAGCAAGAAUAAAAUGCUUUCGACCCUAUGAUCUUCACCUGGAACCUUCCUCUGACUGCCACCUCCAAGGGAGGACCAGAAAGAAGCAAUGAAGCAACAAGGAAGGGGGCCUUUUCAGUGGUGGAAUGGUCUCCCUACCGAAGACCACCUGACACGGUCAUCUUUUCAGCCUGUUCCCAGGCUUUUAAUGGCAUAUGAUGGGUUGUGUCUCCUACUUUAAUUAGGUCUGUUUUAAACUGCAAUUGUUUUAGAGGUUAAGCUAUUUUAUAUUUUUGACUAUUGGACUCGAGCUUUUUUGAAUUUGCACAUUGGAAUUUCAUGCUGUAUUUUAAUGUUCUAUUUUUAUUGUAUCUUUUGUAUUUGAAUGUUGAUAACCACCCAAGACAGCUUCUGCUAUUGGGUGCUAUAGAAAUGAAAUUUUAAAAAGCCAUUGUGGGUAGUUGAUGAAAUUAACAGUUUAUAAAAUUAUAUAAACACCUGUCUCCCAUCUUCAAAAAAUAAUUUUCUACAUUAAAGAGAAUUCCAAAAUACAA